GGCAGGUGGGUCCCCCCCGAGCCGGCAGCUGGGACCCCCCCAAGGGCAGGAUGGAUCUGGACGAGCCGUACAACGGGGGCCCGGCACCGGGCGCCCACAGUGGGUCCAGCGUGGCAAUCAUCGGGGCUGAGGACGAGGAUUUUGAGAAUGACAUUGAGCCGACGCCGGAGGACCACAGCAGCGUGUUCCAGAGCAUGGUGGUGGUGAAGACGCACCCGGCCUAUCUCAUGGCCUUUCUCCAGCAUGUGGUUCUGCAGUUCGACUCCUGC